CAGCAGCCGCGGUAAUACGGAGGGAGCUAGCGUUGUUCGGAAUUACUGGGCGUAAAGCGCACGUAGGCGGUUAUUCAAGUCAGAGGUGAAAGCCCGUGGCUCAACCCCGGAACUGCCUUUGAAACUAGAUGACUGGAAUCUUGGAGAGGUCAGUGGAAUUCCGAGUGUAGAGGUGGAAUUCGUAGAUAUUCGGAAGAACACCAGUGGCGAAGGCGACUGACUGGACAAGUAUUGACGCUGAGGUGCGAAAGCGUGGGGAGCAAACAGGAUUAGAUACCCCCGUAGUCCCUGUCUCUUAUAC
rnacentral:rRNA from 1 species